rnacentral:tRNA from 1 species
GGCCCCAUAGCUCAGUUUUGGUUAGAGCAGUGGACUCAUAAUCCAUUGGUCGCGGGUUCAAGUCCCUCUGGGGCCACCA